rnacentral:rRNA from 1 species
UGGGGAAUAUUGGACAAUGGGCGCAAGCCUGAUCCAGCCAUGCCGCGUGAGUGAUGAAGGCCUUAGGGUUGUAAAGCUCUUUCAGUGGGGAAGAUAAUGACGGUACCCACAGAAGAAGCCCCGGCUAACUUCGUGCCAGCAGCCGCGGUAAUACGAAGGGGGCUAGCGUUGUUCGGAUUUACUGGGCGUAAAGCGCACGUAGGCGGAUUGUUAAGUUGGGGGUGAAAUCCUGGAGCUCAACUCCAGAACUGCCUUCAAUACUGGCAAUCUCGAGUCCGGAAGAGGUAAGUGGAACUCCUAGUGUAGAGGUGGAAUUCGUAGAUAUUAGGAAGAACACCAGUGGCGAAGGCGGCUUACUGGUCCGGUACUGACGCUGAGGUGCGAAAGCGUGGGGAGCAAACA